CCCACCAAGUCUAUAAAUAGAGGAGGUCGUUUAACAGUUUACAUCAGAACGAGCCAGUUGUUUUAGACAAAGCUGACCUUAGACAAAGCUGACCUUUGCAUUUACAUCAUUCAGAGAUUUAACUUUUUUGACACUUUUGAGCUUUAAACCUUUAAAGAAAUGUCACAGGGAAACGGAGAUCAGUUAGACCCACUGCAGCGUAUGGCAGAUGCACUCAGGGAAGAACACGUACAACUCACGGAAGCCAACGCAGAACUCAGUCAAAUGUGCAUAGAAUUAAGUCAACUUAUCGGACAAGUCAGUGGACAAAACGCACAACUCAGUGAAAACUACAUACAACUCAAUCAAGAAAACGCACAACUCGGGCAAGCUAACGCACAACUCAGUCAAGAAAACGCACAACUCAGUCAAGAAAACGCACAACUCGGGCAAGCUAACGCACAACUCAGUCAAGAAAACGCACAACUCAGUCAAGAAAACGCACAACUCAGUCAAGAAAACGCACAACUCAGUCAAGAAAACGCACAACUCAGUCAAGCAAACGCACAACUCAGUCAAGAAAACGCACGACUGAGUCAAGAAAACGCACAACUCGGGAAAGCAAACGCACAACUCAGUCAAGAAAACGCACAACUCGGGCAAGCAAAUGCACAACUCAGUCAAGAAAACGCACAACUCGGGCAAGCAAACGCACAACUCAGUCAAGAAAACGCACAACUCGGGCAAGCAAACGCACAACUCAGUCAAGAAAACGCACAACUCGGGCAAGCAAACGCACAAUUGAGGCAAGAGAUGGCAGAACUCAGACAAACUGUGGAAAAUCUUCAGCGCCCAGCGGUACAUGAACAAGAGACAACAGAAAGAGAAUCGCCUGGUUCGUGGGGUCUAAACCUACUUAAAGUAGGUUUAACUGCUGCCGGAUGUGUCAUUGCUCUUCCUGCAGCUUUCUGGGUCGCCUCUAAGAUUUUCGGCUGAAGCGAAUGUCCCGCUCUGUGGGGUCGUGAUUAUUGUCAUGAACCCACAGAGCGGGGAUCGCUUGCGUGUGCUUGCAUGCACACGUCCCAUCGACAAUUGUGGAUCGUGGUCCACAUCCACAAUUACAGCUGUAAUUGUGGAUGUGGACCAGUUACCCUUUAAAAACAGUAAUGAUGUUUUCCAGCCACAGUCCACCUUCAUCCUGGCGUUGUUCCCGCUGGUGCAGGGUCCGCUCCUCAGCAAAGGUUUCUCCGUUUGGUUCUGUCCAAGGCGUCCUCAGGUGACGCGUUGAUGGUCUUAAUGUCUUCCUUGAUUUUGUCCAUCCACCGUUUUUUCGGUCUGCCUCGAGGCCGGCGCCGUCUGGGUCGAUCCUUAAUAGUCGUUUUUGCUGAGUAGUCAUCGCUUCGAAUCACGUGUCCAUAGCACCUCAGGCGGGAUUCGAGCAUCUUUUAAACUCGAGCCACAGUCCACCGACCUGUCAUAAAUACGCUGUGCUCUCCUUUAUGUUUGAUUUUAUUUUGCCCCUCACCUCCCAACCAGUCAUGGCAGAAGACCGCCCCUCCCUGAGCCUGGUUCUGCCAGAGGUUUCUUCCUGUUAAAAGGGAGUUUUUCCUCUCCACCGUUGCCAGAGUGCUUGCUCAUAGGGGAUCAUUUGAUUGUUGGGUUGAAUUUUUGGAUUUCAUUUCAUUGGCUUGAACUGAAAAACCUAAAAAUUCAGCUGAGGGGUUCACAUAGUGGAGAGCACUACAUUUGUUAACUGCACUUUGUUUAUUUGUGGAUUUUGUAGUUCUUCCUACUACAAAAACUACAAAUGAAAACAAGGCAGUUAGCAGCAAAUGAAAAUAAAUAAAACACAUUAAAAAAAUCUGCUACUGCUCUGUGUGUUUACUUUAGUGAACAAUUCAGGUGAGGGGUUCACAUAGUGGAGAGCACUACAUUUGUUAUAUAUAUUGUGUAUAUAUAUAACAACUAAAAUACAAUAUAUUGUAUUUUAGAUUAGAAUUGAGAUGGAUAUAUAUCUGGUCAAAGAAUAUAACUAAAUUUAUAUUUAACUUACAAUAAAUCACUAGUUGUUCAGUCCUAGCUGUCGUUAUCAGUUACUGCCAGUUAUUCCUCUGCUGCCCAUGGUUUACAGUCCACAUAAACAGGACUGAAUCAUCAGCAGAAGAAACAGAAAACAGGUCUCUUGCCACUGUUUGCUACUUUUGUAAUUGCUGAUAGGAAUUUGUGACAGGUCGGAGGCACGACACGACCACGACUCAGCAUUCUGUGGCAUUUCCCUUUUAUUCUCAUUAGCUGUACACACACUGAUGGCUCAGCUUUCCAGCCAAACACAUACCAACAACAAACACACAACAGGCCCCAGUUCAUUUAAAUGAGAGUACGUUUUGCUCUAAUGAGUUUGCAUUCAGUGUUUAAAAUUCAAACUGUUAACAUAAAAUGUUAUUGUUAAUAAAUUGUUAUUGUUUACCUUUUUGUCUUGUAUUGUUGAUGUGUAUGAAGUAUAUGUAUAUCUGUAUGUUGCCCUGUCUUAGUUUGUCUUGUCCCGUGUUCCCACUCGUGGCCCGCACCUUGUCGUGGUGAGUGGGCUUUCAACUAAGAUGGGCUGUCCUUCUGUUGUCAUAUGUUGAAAAGAAAGCAAAAUGCUACUUUUUACCACUCGGAUCAAAUGUAUUCAUGUUUAAAUACUGUGGGUAAUGUAAUCUAAAGAAGUAGUCAGGGUGUGGUCCUUCUCAAAUUUCCUUCAUCCGAGUUUUUGUGCUCGUCUGUCUGCCUCUGUUCUAGGUUCACAGGACAUGCAGAUGAGAUGCUUCUCUUGGGUUUCAUAUAUAAGCAACACACGUCCUGGUUUAUGUCACAGUCUUUGGUGAAGCUGAGACGCAUCCAGGUAAUGGUGUGAUGUCAUCCGGAGCUGAGCCCGUCCUUCCAAAAGAGGUCAGAGGUCACCUAGUCGUCCCUGCAGGUACGUCACUGUGAGCUCUGCCCACUUGCAUCCCAGCAGCACCUGUUGGCCAACGGGACCGCCCAGAACCAGCAAAACCCAACGGGACCAGGAUCCGGUCCAGCGAGGGUCGGAGCAGUUGGCUCGACGUCCAGGCAGAGAUAUCAAACAUACACAGAACACCACUGAACUGAUGUCACGGAAACAGAAACGCUUCUUCACGUGAUCCAGUCACAUGACUCGGAGAGGCGUAGAGGCUGGCCAAUCAGGUGUACCUGUGGAAAGUGAGAGGAGAUCACAGGUCAGAAGAUUUCACCAGGGAAUGGCUUGAAAUUAAAACGAAGAAGAAGGAGGUGAUGAUGAUGAGGAGGCUGAUCUCCUGUUCAGUAACACUGUUUCUUUACACUGAGAUUCACUGCUCUGACCAGUAGGUGGAGCUGCUGCACUGAGACACCUGAAGCAGGGCAGGUGAAUUUCAGUACAGGUGGAGAGGAGCGGCACAGAAGUCCAAUCAUGUUCAUGGAUGUGAUGAGCACCUGCGCAUUACUCACAUAACUGCUUUUUAUUAAUCGUGAGUUUUUGGUGUG